AACCCAUGAAUGGGAGUUUUUCUGAGCAAUCCCUUGAACCUGUCCCAUGCUUGCCCCAAGGACUCAUCCACGUCUUGCUGGAAAGCAGAGAUUUCUUGUUUGCCUUU